rnacentral:rRNA from 1 species
UAAGGAAUAUUGGACAAUGGCCGCAAGGCUGAUCCAGCCAUGCCGCGUGCAGGAAGAAGGACCUAUGGUUUGUAAACUGCUUUUGUAACAGAGAAAACCCUUCUACGUGUAGAAGGCUGAUAGUAUGUUAAGAAUAAGCAUCGGCUAACUUCGUGCCAGCAGCCGCGGUAAGACGAAGGAUGCAAGCGUUAUCCGGAUUCAUUGGGUUUAAAGGGAGCGUAGGCGGAUAGAUAAGUCAGUGGUGAAAUCUCUGGGCUUAACCCAGAAACUGCCAUUGAUACUGUCUAUCUAGAGUACAGUUGCCGUUGGCGGAAUAUGACAUGUAGUGGUGAAAUACUUAGAUAUGUCAUAGAACACCGAUUGCGAAGGCAGCUAACGAAGCUGUAACUGACGCUGAGGCUCGAAAGUGCGGGGAUCAAACAGGAUUAGAUACCCCGGUAGUCC